CCCUUAGAUGUUCUGGGCCGCACGCGCGCUACACUGAAGGAAUCAGCACGUCUUUCUCCUUGUCCGAAAGGACUGGGUAACCCGCUGAACCUCCUUCGUGCUAGGGAUUGGGGCUUGUAAUUCUUCCCCAUGAACGAGGAAUUCCCAGUAAGCGCGAGUCAUAAGCUCGCGUUGAUUACGUCCCUGCCCUUUGUACACACCGCCCGUCGCUACUACCGAUUGGAUGGUUUAGUGAGAUCCUCGGAUUGGUCCCGGAGCGGCCUCUGGUCGUGCCGGAGUGCCGAAAAGAAUGUCGAACUUGAUCAUCUAGAGGAAGUAAAAGUCGUAACA
rnacentral:rRNA from 1 species